GGGGAAUCUGUAUAUUUAAAACGUAUUUUACAAGGAUGUUCCUAACAUUUUUGAAACAAAGUUUUUACGGUGGAUUCCUCAAGUAAGGAAAAAAAAAUUAAUACAUGAUAAAACUGCUUCUGUGUUUGUACUUUAAGACACUUAAACCUGUAGGUUUGACUUUUUAACAAGCUUUUAUAAAUAAAGCUUUACCUUCAUAAUUUUGAUUCAAGAGACCAAAGCUAUAUGGCUAUUUAAAGAUCAGAACGGCUGUUACUCACAAUGAUAACGCCAGUGGUCAUGUUUCUUCAAAUAGGACAAAAAGUGUGCUCAAAGAAAGUCAGUUUUUGUUCUGAUUUUAAAUGUAUAUCUUAAAUGCAUGCAUUGUGACCGUCUCCAUAAUUUAAAACCUCUAAGAAAUUUAAACUUUCACAUUAUAAUUUAGGGAUUAGUCAAUCCCUUAGUACCAGUUAAAUAAUAGCCAGGAAAGCAUUAGAAAACCUGAAGGUACAUGUAAAGAAAUGCUUUACAUCACUAUUUAAAAUAGGUGUUGAAUUUUAAGAGAAACAUUUCUUUCACUAAAAUUUCUGAUGCCUAAGGUCCAUCAGGAGUAAUCUCUUUUACUCCAUGAUAUUCACAGUAGUUUUGCUCUUGGCCUCACCAGUUUUAAGACUCUCCAUUAAAGAAAGCCAAUUUUAUACUACCUAGGGGCACAAAAAUAGUUCCCAGCUCCUCCUCUCUUUUUCCUCCUAGGUUCGGUUAAACGAGCGAACAUAGAAAACACGUACACACACUCCCUUUCGGCCCUGGUCCCUAGGGCAUUGAUGAAAAGCAAAUUAUUUCUUUACAUACGCUCUGCUGUCCACCCAGAGAUUUAAAAAAAAAAAAAUAAGGGAAAAUACCAGAAUCAGUCUGCACCCACACCUAAGCCCCGCCCCACCGGGAAAAAGCUGGGGGUAGCGGGAUUGUGAGGGUGGCGGAAAGGACGGAAAAGGCCGAGACUUCCAGCUCCUAGGUUCUCCACACCAUUCUUUCCUUCAAGCUGCACCGCAGCCAGGGACCCUGAUUCUAUUUUCAGCCGCGCCUCCCGAUCCUCCUCCCCGCCACCAUCACCAAUACACGGUCCUCAAUCGCUUGAAUACUGGGAAAGCGCGCGAGAGGGAGGGGCCGGAACAACGAACGCUGGUUACCUAACGGUCCGGCCCAGCCAGUCAGGUUCCCAAAGCCCACACCGCGCGGGCCGCCGAGGUGGCAGCACAGCCACAAUCGCCCCAAGGGCUAAGGAGCACGUCAGGAGCACCCGAGAAGUGUUCCAGCUAACAAAUGAAGAUGGAUUGAUAGCAUUAGAAUAUCACCAUUUUGCAAGCCUUAAUGAAUGAAUGGAACUGGGCAAUGAUCAUCAAGAGCUGCUAACAUCU
rnacentral:lncRNA from 1 species